rnacentral:snoRNA from 1 species
AUCCCAUGAUGAGGACAAGCUAGGAUAUAGUCCUGAAGAUGUUCCUAGGCUUUUGUGACUGAUUCAUCAUGAUUCUGCUGGAAACUUGAGAUAUGGUUUCAAAGGGC